UGUGAGGGAAACUUCACUGAGUGGAGAGUGAGGAAGUUCUCUGAAAAAGGCUUCCUGUCUCACUGUCAUGACUGCCAGAAACUGAAUGGAUCCUCUUAUAACAUUCACAGCUUACACCAGGGUGUUACAGUGUAUUGGUGUGAGUCUGACUCUGGAGAGUUCAGUAAUGGAGUCAAACUCACUGUGCAAGGUUUUGGAUCUGAAAGCAGUUCAUUUUUUGUACCACUCAUCAUCGGGCUUGUUUGUGGAAUUGUUCUUUUACUCCUGUUCAUCAUGUGUUGCAGCAAAAAGAUUAAGGAUUCGUAUUGUAACAGGUUGGUGCAAGAGUUUUCUUUCCUUUUAAACAUAACAAUGCAAUAUAAAAAUCACGUAUUGCAUUUACAGUAUUUCCUACAUGUUUUAGACUCAUGCAGUCUCUGAACAUUGAUCAAAGUUCUGCUACACAAGAAACAGUCAGCCAGGAUACAACUCAAGUUUACUCAUCACUUCUUCACGGUCAGUCCCAGAAAUGAUUAUCUGCCUCUUUUUUUCACUCGUUUUAACGUCUCCUGUUUUCCCUGGUUUGUAGUGGAUGCUUCAGUCUAUGAAACAAUUAGAGGGUCUGGAAUCACUCAAAGUGGUGGACAAGUGAAUGAAUACAACAAUGUCACAUCUACUCUUCAGCUUAAAGUUCUUGAUAAGAGGAGGGAGUGUGUAAGAUACUAAAAAUGCAAUUUAUUGAUUGUUUUUAGUACCCACGAAUUUCUAAUUUUAGAGAAAGAAAAUGUAUUGUUUAUAAGCACACUAGUACUUUCAUCUUUAACAGGAAGACAUGAUGACAAAGACGAAAGA